GGAAGUAAAAAUCGUAACAAGGUCUCCGUAGGUGAACCUGCGGAGGGAUCAUUACAGAGUUCAUGCCCUAACGGGUAGAUCUCCCACCCUAUGUUAUCAUCACUUUGUUGCUUUGGCGGGCCGUCAGGCCUCGGCUUGGCUACCGGCUCUCGCUGGUAAGCGCCCGCCAGAGAACCCCAAACCCUGAAUAUCAGUGUCGUCUGAGUACUAUAUAAUAGUUAAAACUUUCAACAACGGAUCUCUUGGUUCUG
rnacentral:misc_RNA from 1 species